rnacentral:rRNA from 1 species
GAACCGCCAAACGUUAUUCGGAAUUACUGGGGCUUAAAGGGGUGCGUAGGCGGCGCGAUAAGUCGGGUGUGAAAUCCCUCAGCUCAACCGAGGGAACUGCGCCCGAUACUGUCGUGCUUGAGGGAGGCAGAGGUGAGCGGAACUGAUGGUGGAGCGGUGAAAUGCGUUGAUAUCAUCAGGAACACCGGUGGCGUAAGCGGCUCACUGGGCCUCUUCUGACGCUGAGGCACGAAAGCUAGGGGAGCGAACGGGAUUAGAUACCCCGGUAGUCCUAGCUGUAAACGAUGAGCACUUGGUCGGAGGAUCCUCCAUAGUUUUCCGGCCGUAGCGAAAGUGUUAAGUGCUCCGCCUGGGGAGUAUGGUCGCAAAGGCUG